rfam:Oryza glumipatula chromosome 2, whole genome shotgun sequence.
GAUUUCAACUGAAAAAGUCAUCAACAACAAAGUUGUAUAACUCAUUAAUAUCUAUAACUUUUAUUUUAAUCAUUUUUUCAUUCGACAAAGUGAUAGUAACAUUGUUUACAAAAUUUACAUAUCUCUCUUAUAGUUUAUUAUACCAUACAAGAGAUAUGUAAAUUUUAUGAACAAUGUCACUAUCAUUUUUUCGGAUGAAGAAAUGACCAAAAUAAAAGUUAUAGAUAUUGAUGAGUUAUACAACUUUGUUCUUGAUGACUUUUUCAGUUGAAAUC